GACAGAGGGUGCAAGCGUUGUUCGGAAUUAUUGGGCGUAAAGGGCGCGUAGGCGGCUUCGUAAGUCAGGUGUGAAAUCCCGGGGCUUAACCCCGGAAGUGCAUCUGAUACUGCGAAGCUUGAGUCUCGGAGAGGAUGGUGGAAUUCCCAGUGUAGAGGUGAAAUUCGUAGAUAUUGGGAGGAAUACCGGUGGCGAAGGCGACCAUCUGGACGAAGACUGACGCUGAGGCGCGAAAGCGUGGGGAG
rnacentral:rRNA from 1 species